UACGGAGGAUGCAAGCGUUAUCCGGAAUGAUUGGGCGUAAAGCGUCCGCAGGUGGCUGUGUAAGUCUGCUGUCAAAGAGCGAAGCUCAACUUCGUAAAGGCAGUGGAAACUACACGGCUAGAGUGCGUUCGGGGCAGAGGGAAUUCCUGGUGUAGCGGUGAAAUGCGUAGAGAUCAGGAGGAACACCCGUGGCGAAGGCGGCUCUCUGGGCCGGCCCUGACGCUGAGGCGCGGAAAAGCGUGGGGGAGCGAAACGGGG
rnacentral:rRNA from 1 species